AUAGGUGUGUGAGCGACGUGGCGAACUGAAACAUCUAAGUAGCUACAGGAAAAGGAAUCAACCGAGAUUCCCAGAGUAGUGGCGAGCGAAAUGGGACCAGCCUGCAAGAUUUAGCAUCAUUGAUAGUGGAACGGAAUGGAAAGUCCGGCCAUAGAGGGUGAUAGCCCCUUACACGAAGUCAUUGGUGUGGAACUAGGCUUGCGACAAGUAGGGCGGGACACGUGAAAUCCUGUCUGAACAUGGGGGGACCAUCCUCCAAGGCUAAAUACUCGUAAUCGACCGAUAGUGAACCAGUACCGUGAGGGAAAGGCGAAAAGAACCCCGGAAGGGGAGUGAAAUAGAUCCUGAAACCGUGUGCAUACAAACAGUAGGAGCCUCGCAAGGGGUGACUGCGUACCUUUUGUAUAAUGGGUCAGCGACUUACAUUCAGUGGCAAGGUUAACCGCAUAGGGAAGCCGUAGAGAAAUCGAGUCCGAAUAGGGCGUUCAGUCGCUGGGUGUAGACCCGAAACCAAGUGAUCUAUCCAUGGCCAGGUUGAAGGUGCGGUAACACGCACUGGAGGACCGAACCCACUAAUGUUGAAAAAUUAGGGGAUGAGCUGUGGAUAGGGGUGAAAGGCUAAACAAACUUGGAAAUAGCUGGUUCUCUCCGAAAACUAUUUAGGUAGUGCCUCAAGUAUCACCAUCGGGGGUAGAGCACUGUUAUGGCUAGGGGGUCAUCGCGACUUACCAAACCAUUGCAAACUCCGAAUACCGAUGAGUGCGAGCUUGGGAGACAGACGCCGGGUGCUAACGUCCGACGUCAAGAGGGAAACAACCCAGACCGCCAGCUAAGGUCCCAAAGAUUGGCUAAGUGGAAAACGAAGUGGGAAGGCUAAAACAGUCAGGAGGUUGGCUUAGAAGCAGCCAUCCUUUAAAGAAAGCGUAAUAGCUCACUGAUCGAGUCGUCCUGCGCGGAAGAUGUAACGGGGCUAAGCCAGUCACCGAAGCUGCGGAUAUCCGUAAGGAUAUGGUAGGAGAGCGUUCUGUAAGCCUGUGAAGGUGUCUUGUAAAGGAUGCUGGAGGUAUCAGAAGUGCGAAUGCUGACAUGAGUAGCGAUAAUGCGGGUGAAAAGCCCGCACGCCGUAAGCCCAAGGUUUCCUGUUCAACGUUCAUCGGAGCAGGGUGAGUCGGCCCCUAAGGCGAGGCAGAGAUGCGUAGCUGAUGGGAAGCAGGUUAAUAUUCCUGCACCGUCGUUAGAUGCGAUGGGGGGACGGAUCGCGGAAGGUUGUCCGGGUGUUGGAUGUCCCGGUUCCUGUAUCAGAGAAGGCUGUUAGGCAAAUCCGGCAGCGUAAUUCAAGGGUAUGGGACGAGCGAACUUGUUCGCGAAGCAAUCGGAAGUGGUUCCAAGAAAAGCCUCUAAGCUUCAGUCUAACGAGACCGUACCGCAAACCGACACAGGUGGGCGAGAUGAGUAUUCUAAGGCGCUUGAGAGACUCGGGAGAAGGAACUCGGCAAAUUGGUACCGUAACUUCGGGAUAAGGUACGCCCAAGUAGUUUGACUGGCCUGCGCCAGAAGGACGAAAGGGUUGCAAUAAAAUGGUGGCUGCGACUKUUUAAUAAAAACACAGCACUCUGCAAACACGAAAGUGGACGUAUAGGGUGUGACGCCUGCCCGGUGCUGGAAGAUUAAAUGAUGGGGUGCAAGCUCUUGAUUGAAGUCCCAGUAAACGGCGGCCGUAACUAUAACGGUCCUAAGGUAGCGAAAUUCCUUGUCGGGUAAGUUCCGACCUGCACGAAUGGCGUAACGAUGGCCACACUGUCUCCUCCCGAGACUCAGCGAAGUUGAAAUGUUUGUGAUGAUGCAAUCUACCCGCGGCUAGACGGAAAGACCCCAUGAACCUUUACUGUAGCUUUACAUUGGACUUUGAACCAAUCUGUGUAGGAUAGGUGGGAGGCUUUGAAGCGUGGACGCUAGUCUGCGUGGAGCCAACCUUGAAAUACCACCCUCGUUUGUUUGAGGUUCUAACCUUGGUCCGUUAUCCGGAUCGGGGACAGUGUAUGGUAGGCAGUUUGACUGGGGCGGUCUCCUCCCAAAGUGUAACGGAGGAGUUCGAAGGUACGCUAGGUACAGUCGGACAUCGUGCUAAUAGUGCAAUGGCAUAAGCGUGCUUAACUGCGAGACUGACAAGUCGAGCAGGUGCGAAAGUAGGACAUAGUGAUCCGGUGGUUCUGUAUGGAAGGGCCAUCGCUCAACGGAUAAAAGGUACUCUGGGGAUAACAGGCUGAUUCCUCCCAAGAGUUCAUAUCGACGGGGGAGUUUGGCACCUCGAUGUCGGCUCAUCACAUCCUGGGGCUGUAGCCGGUCCCAAGGGUAUGGCUGUUCGCCAUUUAAAGUGGUACGUGAGCUGGGUUUAAAACGUCGUGAGACAGUUUGGUCCCUAUCUGCCGUGGGCGU
rnacentral:rRNA from 1 species